rnacentral:rRNA from 1 species
GAUGAACGCUGGCGGCGUGCCUAAUACAUGCAAGUCGAGCGAACAGACGAGGAGCUUGCUCCUCUGACGUUAGCGGCGGACGGGUGAGUAACACGUGGAUAACCUACCUAUAAGACUGGGAUAACUUCGGGAAACCGGAGCUAAUACCGGAUAAUAUGUUGAAUCGCAUGGUUCAACAGUGAAAGACGGUCUUGCUGUCACUUAUAGAUGGAUCCGCGCCGCAUUAGCUAGUUGGUAAGGUAACGGCUUACCAAGGCAACGAUGCGUAGCCGACCUGAGAGGGUGACCGGCCACACUGGAACGGGGACACGGUCCAGACUCCUACGGGAGGCAGCAGUAGGGAAUCUUCCGCAAUGGGCGAAAGCCUGACGGAGCAACGCCGCGUGAGUGAAGAAGGUCUUCGGAUCGUAAAACUCUGUUAUUAGGGAAGAACAAAUGUGUAAGUAACUAUGCACGUCUUGACGGUACCUAAUCAGAAAGCCACGGCUAACUACGUG